UACGUAGGGGGCGAGCGUUGUCCGGAUUUAUUGGGCGUAAAGAGCUCGUAGGCGGUUUGGCAAGUCGGGUGUGAAAACUCCGGCUCAACUCGGAGACGCCACUCGAUACUGCCAUGACUCGAGUCCGGUAGGGGAGUGGCGGAAUUCCGUGGUGUAGCGGUGAAAUGCGCAGAUAUCAGGAGGAACACCGGUGGCGAAGGCGGCACUCUGGGCCGGUACUGACGCUGAGGAGCGAAAGCGUGGGGAGCGAACAGG
rnacentral:rRNA from 1 species